ensembl:lncRNA
GACAAAAUGCUGCUGGCACGGCACAGCCAACACGCAGGUGGUGGGCAAUGUCAGGAGGAAAGUCGCCCCCUUACGCUCAUUCAUUCUCCUCUCUUGAAUGAACGCAUCGGGGCACAGCUGGAGCCCCAUCCUGAGAUGUGUUGUGCUGUGGGGUUCCUCGUCGGUGGGAUAUGGGGAUCCUGGAAUGGUGAUGGCGGUCCUCUCAGAAACUGUGGGAGUCCGAGAAGCCGGGGCGGAGGGGGCUGAAGAGGUUAAGGAUGUCUGAAGGAGGAAAUAGGGGAGUUCAGUGGGAGCUCAGAGGGGGACGUGGGGUGCUGCUGGGGACUGUGGGGCUCUGUGAGGUCCCAGGUUGCUGGGGGGAGGUGUACCGGGAAAAGGUCCUUGAGGAGCUAUGGGGCUCUGUGUGGGGUGUGGGAGGGAUAUAGGGACAUCGGGGGAUAUGGGAACACAGGCUGCAGGAGCAGAAUGCUGUCCAAGAGAAGACAAGAUGUGGGCUGCAGGUGGGAAACAGGGGCAUGGGGUAGUAUGGAGACAUAGGGGGUAUGGGAGGAUGUGGGGAGCGGUUUGAGGUAAAAAGGGG